rnacentral:tRNA from 1 species
GGAAUAUAGCUAAGUGGUAGAGCACUUUUCUGGCAUGCAUGAGGCCCUGGGUUCCAUCCCCAAUACCA